CAGUAGCCGCGGUAAUACGAGGGGAGCUAGCGUUGUACGGAAUCACUGGGCGUAAAGCGCGCGUAGGCGGCCUUUUAAGUCAGAGGUGAAAGCCCGGGGCUCAACCCCGGAAUUGCCUUUGAAACUGGAAAGCUAGAAUCUUGGAGAGGUCAGUGGAAUUCCGAGUGUAGAGGUGAAAUUCGUAGAUAUUCGGAAGAACACCAGUGGCGAAGGCGACUGACUGGACAAGUAUUGACGCUGAGGUGCGAAAGCGUGGGGAGCAAACAGGAUUAGAUACCCCCGUAGUCCCUGUCUCUUAUAC
rnacentral:rRNA from 1 species